rnacentral:rRNA from 1 species
UACAGAGGGGGCAAGCGUUGUUCGGAAUUACUGGGCGUAAAGGGCGCGUAGGUGGCCUUCUAAGUUGAACGUGAAAUCCCUGGGCUCAACCCAGGAACUGCGUCCAAGACUGGGAGGCUUGAAUCCGGGAGAGGGAUGCGGAAUUCCAGGUGUAGCGGUGAAAUGCGUAGAUAGUACUGGAGGAACACCGGUGGCGAAGGCGGCAUCCUGGACCGGUAUUGACACUGAGGCACGAAGGUCAGGGGAGCAAACGGG